CCUACGGGAGGCAGCAGUGGGGAAUAUUGGACAAUGGGGGCAACCCUGAUCCAGCCAUGCCGCGUGUGUGAAGAAGGCCCUCGGGUUGUAAAGCACUUUCAGUGAGGAAGAACGCCUGGUGGUUAAUACCCAUCAGGAAAGACAUCACUCACAGAAGAAGCACCGGCUAACUCCGUGCCAGCAGCCGCGGUAAUACGGAGGGUGCGAGCGUUAAUCGGAAUUACUGGGCGUAAAGCGCGCGUAGGUGGCUUGAUAAGCCGGUUGUGAAAGCCCCGGGCUCAACCUGGGAACGGCAUCCGGAACUGUCAAGCUAGAGUGCAGGAGAGGAAGGUAGAAUUCCAGGUGUAGCGGUGAAAUGCGUAGAGAUCUGGAGGAAUACCAGUGGCGAAGGCGGCCUUCUGGACUGACACUGACACUGAGGUGCGAAAGCGUGGGUAGCAAACAGGAUUAGAUACCCGUGUAGUC
rnacentral:rRNA from 1 species